GUCUAAAACGACUCUCGGCAACGGAUAUCUCGGCUCCUGCAUCGAUGAAGAACGUAGCGAAAUGCGAUACUUGGUGUGAAUUGCAGAAUCCCGUGAACCAUCGAGUCUUUGAACGCAAGUUGCGCCUGAAGCCAUUAGGCUAAGGGCAUGCCUGCCUGGGUGUCACUAA
rnacentral:rRNA from 1 species